rnacentral:rRNA from 1 species
GAUGAACGCUGGCGGCGUGCCUAAUACAUGCAAGUCGAGCGAACUGAUUAGAAGCUUGCUUCUAUGACGUUAGCGGCGGACGGGUGAGUAACACGUGGGCAACCUGCCUGUAAGACUGGGAUAACUUCGGGAAACCGAAGCUAAUACCGGAUAGGCUCUUCUCCUUCAUGGGAGAUGAUUGAAAGAUGGUUUCGGCUAUCACUUACAGAUGGGUCCGCGGUGCAUUAGCUAGUUGGUGAGGUAACGGCUCACCAAGGCAACGAUGCAUAGCCGAGCGGAGGCGGUUCGCGGCCACUCUGAGGUUGACACACGGCCCAGACUCCGCCGGAAGGCAGCCGUAGGGGAUGUUACGCAAUGGCCGAAAGUCUGACGGGGCAACGUCGCGUGGGUGAUGAGGGCUUUCGGGUCGUAAAACUCUGUUGUUAGGGAAGAAUAAGUACGGGAGUAACUGCUCGUAACGUGAGGGUACCUAACCAGAAAGCCACGGCUAACUACGUGCCAGCCGCCGCCGUAA